AAACCGGACAGAACCAACAGGGAUUGCCUUAGUAACUGCGAGUGAAGCGGCAAAGCUCAAUUUGAAAUCGGUGUGCCUAAGGUACAUUGAGUUGUAAUUUGGAGGGACAACUUCGGGCUGAACCACACCGUAAGUUUCUUGGAACAGGACAUCAUAGAGGGUGAGAAUCCCGUGUCUUGGUGUCGGAUCAAACCAUGUGAAGUGUCUCCGACGAGUCGAGUUGUUUGGGAAUGCAGCUCAGAAUGGGUGGUAAAUUUCCUCUAAAGCUAAAUAUUGGCGAGAGAGCGAUAGCGCACGAGUAGAGUGAUCGAAAGAUGACAAGCACUUUGAAAAGAGAGUCACAUAGUACGCGAAAUUGUUGAAAGGGAAGCGCUUACUACCAGACUCGAUCUUUGGGGAUCAACCCGACUUCGGUACGGUGCCCUCGCAUUGAUUGGGCCGCCUCGGUGCUGACGGCGGGAAACAAGAUGCAGAAUGUCGCUCUCUUCGAGAGUGUUAUAGCCCCCUUCCCAUGCUACCAGUCGGGAACGAGUACCGCGCUUCGCCAAGAAGGUUGCAUCAUGGGACUAAGCGACCCGUCUUGAAACACGAACCAGGGAUCCGGCGGGCUGACUUGCCGUUCCGGCGGCCCCUC
rnacentral:rRNA from 1 species